rnacentral:rRNA from 1 species
GGCGAACGCUGGCGGCGUGCUUAACACAUGCAAGUCGAGCGGUAAGGCCCUUUCGGGGGUACACGAGCGGCGAACGGGUGAGUAACACGUGGGUGACCUGCCCUUAGCUCUGGGAUAAGCCUGGGAAACUGGGUCUAAUACCGGAUAUGACUCCAUGACGCAUGUUGUGGGGUGGAAAGCCUUGUGCGGCUAGGGAUGGGCCCGCGGCCUAUCAGCUUGUUGGUGGGGUGAUGGCCUACCAAGGCGACGACGGGUAGCCGGCCUGAGAGGGCGACCGGCCACACUGGGACUGAGACACGGCCCAGACUCCUACGGGAGGC